rnacentral:rRNA from 1 species
UUGUAAUCUAGAGAAGUGUUUUCUGCCUUGGACCACACAUAAAUUCCCUGGAAUGGGGUGUCAUAGAGGGUGAGAAUCCCGUUUGUGGUGUGGACUACCUUGGCUCUGUGAUACACUCUCAACGAGUCGAGUUGUUUGGGAAUGCAGCUCAAAA